AGAGAAUAGGCGCAACUGGUGUUGCUGCUCGUACAUCUCUCGAGUCUUCGUUGUUCGUUCCCUUUGCUUCUUCGCUACAAAACAACCAAUUAACGAAAAAGUCACUCUGGAAUGCGCACGUUAGCACUGUCCCUCUCUCUCUCUCUCUCUCUCUCUCUCUCUCACACAAAACAGAAAACGGUUGGAGGAACUGCUCGCCUAGAUUUCCUAGUAGCUGACACUGACGCUUUGCACUUCAAUAGUUUUUACCCUCGGCGCACGUUAGCCUCCUCCUGGCCCCUUUUGCUUCUUCUUCUUCAGUUGGCUGUAGAAGAUCCUCUCCCAAAUUUUUGAUAGCUUUUCUAUGAGAGGACGUUAUGUUGAUGGGUACUCGAUGUUCAAACGCGGAGCAUCGAAGGACGACAUAAAUGCUUAUGAAAGAGAAGGAAGUACAGUUCAUUUGCUGAAUGGCAAAGACAUUGGAAACCCACCAUGGAGGCGCUCUCUGCCACAUGUACUUGUGGCAACUCUUUCUUCAUUCAUAUUUGGCUACCAUCUUGCAGUAAUCAAUGAGACCCUAGAAAGCAUCUCUUUAGACCUUGGCUUUAGUGGGAAUACCUUGGCUGAAGGUCUAGUGGUGAGUACAUGUUUAGGAGGCGCCUUUAUUGGAUCUCUAUUCAGUGGUUGGAUUGCAGAUGGGAUUGGGCGUCGAAGGGCAUUUCAACUUUGUGCUCUACCAAUGAUAAUUGGUGCAUCAAUGAGCGCAACAACCAAAAGUCUCUGGGGUAUGCUUCUAGGGAGGUUAUUUGUCGGAACCGGGAUGGGUCUUGGCCCACCUGUUGCAGCUCUCUAUGUGGCAGAGGUGUCACCGACUUUUGUAAGGGGUACUUUUGGGAGCUUCACUCAAAUUGCUACAUGUCUAGGACUUAUGGGAGCUCUUUUUAUAGGGUUCCCAGCGAAGGAAAUAGUUGGUUGGUGGCGGAUUUGUUUUUGGGUAUCUGCUGUUCCUGCUGCUGUACUUGCUCUUUCCAUGGAGUUCUGUGCAGAGAGUCCCCAUUGGCUUUUCAAGAGAGGAAGAGGUAUUGAAGCUGAAGCUGAAUUUGAGAAGCUUCUAGGAGGAUCACAUGUCAAAUCUGCCAUGGCAGAAUUGUCAAGGACAGAAAGAGGAGAUGAGGCAGAAACGGUAAAGCUCUCUGAGUUGUUCUAUGGCCGCUAUUUCAAAGUGGUGUUCAUUGGCUCUACCCUUUUUGCUUUACAACAGCUAUCUGGCAUAAAUGCUAUAUUCUAUUUCUCUUCUACUGUCUUUAAGAGCCUCGGUGUGCCUUCAGAUCUCGCAAACAUAUGUGUGGGAAUCGCAAAUUUGUUGGGGUCAUUAAUUGCAACAAUCUUGAUGGAUAAACUUGGAAGAAAGGUGCUUCUUCUUGGAAGUUUUUCAGGCAUGGUAGUAUCAAUGGGACUUCAAGUAAUUGCAGCAAGUUCUUUCACAUCAGGCUCUGUGGCAUUGUAUCUUUCAGUUGGUGGCAUGCUGCUAUUUGUCUUGAUGUUUGCUCUUGGCGCUGGUCCAGUCCCUGGUCUCCUCCUUUCAGAAAUACUUCCUGGCCGGAUUAGGGCUAAAGCAAUGGCAGUUUGUAUGGCUGUGCACUGGGUGGUAAAUUUCUUUGUUGGUCUAUUGUUUUUGCCCUUGCUGGAGCAACUAGGGGCAGUAGUACUGUAUACGAUCUUUGCUGCCUUUUGUUUGGUGGCUGCGUUUUUUGUGAAGAUCAAUGUUUUGGAAACAAAAGGAAAAUCACUCCAAGAAAUUGAAAUUGCACUUCUUCCAUCCGACUAGAGUAACUACCAACACACCAACUUUGAGAGGAUCCGUAGCAGAUUUUGGUGGACAAUACUAGUAAACUCCAGGGACGCACUGUGUCGGCCAAAGUUACCAAGGCUGCAAAGGCUUUCCUUGUACUGUGCAUGGAGAAUCACUAGCAGAGGAUUUUCACAGGCAAUACGCAAUUGGAAACCAAUUGAAGAGAUCUCAUUGGGUCAGCUGGAGUUUCAUUACCAUGCUCAUAUCAUAAUAGAAGUCGGCAUACAACGCAAGGAAUUGAAAGUCCUAUACUUGUGCAGUUUCGACUUCAAGUGUAUAUGUUGCAAGAAUUGAGAGAAGUGUGGUAAAAGAGUUUAUUUCUCAAUGAUUUACAGCAUUAGAGGCAUAACAUAUAUAUACAGAAUAUGCUAGACUUCAAGACAAUUCCACAGAAUGUGGGAUUGUCAAUUACACGUUAUUAUAGGAGAUUGGAUUAUGGGGUGUAAUGACGAAAACAGCAGGCAUAGUUUCCUUAGGGGAUACUUGACAAAUUAAGCAGAGAUCUUUCCUUGAGAGGUGCUGCAGGUCUUGCCUUUUUCAAUAUUGAAGA